UGUGUUGUAAGCUGCCCAGAGUGGCUGGGAAAACCCAGCCAGAUGGGCGAGGUAUAAAUAAUAAAAAUUAUUUUUAUUAUUAUUAUUUGUACCCCACCCAUCUGAUUGGGUAGUUCCAGCCACUCUGGGCGACUUCCAGCAUA